rnacentral:miRNA from 1 species
UGUUGCAAGUCGGUGGAGACGU